ACAAUGGAGAGUUUGAUCCUGGCUCAGGAUGAACGCUAGCGGGAGGCCUAACACAUGCAAGCCGAGCGGUAGAGUCUCUUCGGAGACUUGAGAGCGGCGCACGGGUGCGGAACACGUGUGCAACCUGCCUUUAUCUGGGGGAUAGCCUUUCGAAAGGAAGAUUAAUACCCCAUAAUAUAUUGAGUGGCAUCACUUGAUAUUGAAAACUCCGGUGGAUAGAGAUGGGCACGCGCAAGAUUAGAUAGUUGGUGAGGUAACGGCUCACCAAGUCUACGAUCUUUAGGGGGCCUGAGAGGGUGAUCCCCCACACUGGUACUGAGACACGGACCAGACUCCUACGGGAGGCAGCAGUGAGGAAUAUUGGACAAUGGGUGAGAGCCUGAUCCAGCCAUCCCGCGUGAAGGACGACGGCCCUAUGGGUUGUAAACUUCUUUUGUAUAGGGAUAAACCUAGAUACGUGUAUCUAGCUGAAGGUACUAUACGAAUAAGCACCGGCUAACUCCGUGCCAGCAGCCGCGGUAAUACGGAGGGUGCAAGCGUUAUCCGGAUUUAUUGGGUUUAAAGGGUCCGUAGGCUGAUUUGUAAGUCAGUGGUGAAAUCUCACAGCUUAACUGUGAAACUGCCAUUGAUACUGCAAGUCUUGAGUGUUGUUGAAGUAGCUGGAAUAAGUAGUGUAGCGGUGAAAUGCAUAGAUAUUACUUAGAACACCAAUUGCGAAGGCAGGUUACUAAGCAACAACUGACGCUGAUGGACGAAAGCGUGGGGAGCGAACAGGAUUAGAUACCCUGGUAGUCCACGCCGUAAACGAUGCUAACUCGUUUUUGGGUUUUCGGAUUCAGAGACUAAGCGAAAGUGAUAAGUUAGCCACCUGGGGAGUACGAACGCAAGUUUGAAACUCAAAGGAAUUGACGGGGGCCCGCACAAGCGGUGGAUUAUGUGGUUUAAUUCGAUGAUACGCGAGGAACCUUACCAAGGCUUAAAUGGGAAAUGACAGGUUUAGAAAUAGACUUUUCUUCGGACAUUUUUCAAGGUGCUGCAUGGUUGUCGUCAGCUCGUGCCGUGAGGUGUUAGGUUAAGUCCUGCAACGAGCGCAACCCCUGUCACUAGUUGCCAUCAUUAAGUUGGGGACUCUAGUGAGACUGCCUACGCAAGUAGAGAGGAAGGUGGGGAUGACGUCAAAUCAUCACGGCCCUUACGCCUUGGGCCACACACGUAAUACAAUGGCCGGUACAGAGGGCAGCUACACAGUGAUGUGAUGCAAAUCUCGAAAGCCGGUCUCAGUUCGGAUUGGAGUCUGCAACUCGACUCUAUGAAGCUGGAAUCGCUAGUAAUCGCGCAUCAGCCAUGGCGCGGUGAAUACGUUCCCGGGCCUUGUACACACCGCCCGUCAAGCCAUGGAAGUCUGGGGUACCUGAAGUCGGUGACCGUAACAGGAGCUGCCUAGGGUAAAACAGGUAACUAGGGCUAAGUCGUAACAAGGUAGCCGUACCGGAAGGUGCGGCUGGAACAUCUCAUUUUAGA
rnacentral:rRNA from 1 species